AUGGCCGGCGCUGGAUCGAGUUCAUCCGCACCAGGAGAAGGAGGCUUUCACUUGAUGAGUUGUCUAAAAGAAGUUCCGACACUCAGAGGUGACAACCACACUGAGUGGAGGAAGAAAGUUGAACUGGCAUUGAUUUGUGCUGAUCUUGACUGGCUUGUGGUGAAACCACAGCCGGUCAGACCCACAGAGCCAGUAAGAGAGGCCACUGAUGAUGAUGCUACAUGGGCUAAAAAGAAGGGGGACUAUGCUCCUUUGGAGCACUCCUACCUCAUAUAUAACCAAAAGUGGUUCAAUGCAAACAAAAAGUGCAUGGCUUUUAUAAAGAAUACAAUUGAGAGCGCCAUUGUGGGCUCCAUUCCAGAGUGCACUUCCGCAGGGGAGUUGCUUACAAAGAUAAAGAGCCAGUUCACUGGCUCUUCAAAGAUCUAUGCCACCCAGAUGUUAGAGCAACUGGUGACAGAACGCUACACAGGUGGUAGUCGUGGAAUAAGAGAGCACAUCCUCAGGAUGAGUAAUAUGGCAGCAAAGCUCAAGCCCAUGGAUGCGGAUCUGGAGAUCAAA
rnacentral:rRNA from 1 species